GCCAGGCUGCUAUAAAAGCACAAACCAAUGUGUUUUCCUCCGCGUGGAGGUUGGCAGCAAGCAGUACCAUGCCGCAGGGCAGGGGUGCUGCAGAAAAGGCCGGUAAAUAUGCCGGUAAA
rnacentral:sRNA from 1 species